AUUCCAUUCUGCAAUCAUCAUUUCCUGCUGUGAGCUGGGCCAUCAAGAGGAGGUUGCUGCACGCUUCUCUACACGAAGCCUGCCGAGAAUGGUGAAAUCUGAUGACAAAUCUCCACGACUGCCAACAGAGCAUCGACUGAAAGGAGGACUGCCGACAUCAUCAAAGACCCCAGCACGGGCUCUUCACCAACCCCAGGUCCGAGAUACAAAAGUGUGAAAUGUAUGACUACCAGAUUGAAUAACUUUCUUUGCCACUGCCAUCUGACUUCUAAACAGCUGACAGGAGUACGAGUGUGCUUAUGAUGCUCCCCCUAGUCAACUUUCCUUUAUGAUAAUGUGCGCAAUCAUGUUUUGCACAAGUUGUACAAUUGCCAUAUAGGUUUAGGGUUUGGAAUCCAGUUAUAUGGUGUUUUAUUUUGUUUCAUAUUAUUGUUUUUCUUACAUCUGUUUACAGCUUUUUAUUUGAUCUUACUUACGGCAUCCAUUCGGAUGACAAAAUAAGUAAAACUGAAUCUCAAUUGUGCUGCCUAUUAUGAGACUAACAAUAGUUAGUCAUAUUUCAACAAUUUCGGAAAACCAGCAAAAACAGAAUUUCUAACAAGCACACGACUUAAGUAACAUUAAAAAUGACUUAAGCAAUUAUGUUGCGAGGCGAACAAUAUGUGUGUGAUUGUACUUUUCUGUAUCAUCAUGCAUCUUCUAUCCCUACAUGCUAUGUGUAGUCAUGUGGUUCAGAGUUGUGUGCUUAAAAAAAAAAGAGUAUGAGUUGUCUUUCAGAAAAAAAAAAAAUCGAUCUGGCAAAUCAUUGAAGGUAUAUGUUCGACAGUGGUUGCCAGUACGACAGAUGACAGCUUGAUUGUGAAAGGUAUCAACUUACCAACAUUAACCUCUGUAAACUGGCCAAAUUUUUCACAGUUUCAGGUCAUUUCUGUGUCAUAAAAUCCAGUAAGACGUAUACGAUUUUGAUGACUAUAAGCCCGUCAGAUGUGACAAAGUCAACAGUAUACUAUAACUGUGCUGGGGUGCAGGACUAUAAAAAAAACAACAAUCCCUUUAGGAUGACUUAUUGUUCAAGUGAAAUCAUAAACCAAGUGUCCAGAGGUCUAAGCCACUCACUUUAUCACAGUAUAGUAUGGAAUUGUAAACCUGGAUCUGGCUUGAUCUUUCACUGCAGGGUCUACAGGUCAGGAGGUGAUAACGGCACCAACUUUGUAUAUUCAUGCUCAUAUAACGUUCGACCAGCGUGACAUCAAUUAACAUCUCUUCUUCAUAAUGUUGAUCUUGAAAAAAAAAUCAGACCAUUGUUUCCAAAAGUUAAUUGGUACACAUUCAAAAGAAAUUCUACCAUGACGUUGCCAUGAUAUUUAAGAAAUGAUAAUUGUGAAUUUUCCCCAUUCCUUGUCCCAUCUCGGAUCUCCUGCUGAAUUGACACGUUAGAUUCAAUUACAUUCUGUAAAUAAUGCACUAAUACCACAGCAGUCAUUCAAGGCCGGCUGGGUUUUAAUUACCGCUAAUUACAAUUUGCAUAAAGCUUUUUAGCAAAUGACUCCUGAAGCGCCUGUUAUCAUCAGGCAUGGCCGCUUGUGUGUGGGUGAUGCUGAAAAGCCAUCCGACGAAUGAAAGUCCAAAAAGCAAAAGAGCGAAAUGAAUGUCUGCAAUGCAUCAAUGAAA